rnacentral:rRNA from 1 species
GAGUUUGAUCGUGGCUCAGGAUGAACGCUGGCGGCGUGCCUAAUACAUGCAAGUCGAGCGAACGGACGAGAAGCUUUGCUUCUCUGAUGUUAGCGGCGGACGGGUGAGGUAACACGUGGAUAACCUACCUAUAAGACUGGGAUAACUUCGGGAAACCGGAGCUAAUACCGGAUAAUAUUUUGAACCGCAUGGUUCAAAAGUGAAAGACGGUCUUGCUGUCACUUAUAGAUGGAUCCGCGCUGCAUUAGCUAGUUGGUAAGGUAACGGCUUACCAAGGCAACGAUGCAUAGCCGACCUGAGAGGGUGAUCGGCCACACUGGAACUGAGACACGGUCCAGACUCCGUACGGGAGGCAGCA